GAUGAACGCUAGCUACAGGCUUAACACAUGCAAGUCGAGGGGAAACGAUAUUGGAAGCUUGCUUCCGAUAGGCGUCGACCGGCGCGCGGGUGAGUAACGCGUAUCCAACCUGCCCACCACUUGGGGAUAACCUUGCGAAAGUAAGACUAAUACCCAAUGAUAUCUCUAGAAGACAUCUGAAAGAGAUUAAAGAUUUAUCGGUGAUGGAUGGGGAUGAGGCUGAUUAGCUUGUUGGCGGGGUAACGGCCCACCAAGGCGACGAUCAGUAGGGGUUCGGAGAGGAAGGUUCCCCACAUUGGAACUGAGACACAGUCCAAACUCCUACGGGAGGCAGCAGUGAGGAAUAUUGGUCAAUGGGCGAGAGCCUGAACCAGCCAAGUAGCGUGCAGGAUGACGGCCCUAUGGGUUGUAAACUGCUUUUAUAAGGGAAUAAAGUGAGAGUCGUGACUCUUUUUGCAUGUACCUUAUGAAUAAGGACCGGCUAAUUCCGUGCCAGCCGCCGCUGUAACAC
rnacentral:rRNA from 1 species